rnacentral:rRNA from 1 species
AACGCACCUUGCGCUCCUUGGUAUUCCGAGGAGCAUGCCUGUUUGAGUAUCAUUAAAUUCUCAACCCACUCUCACUUGAUUGUGAGAGUUGGCUUGGACUUGAGGGUUGCUGGCAGUCAAUGUCAGCUCUCUUUAAAUGCAUUAGCAAUGUGUUCUUUUUCGCAAAGUGCAAACACCUAAUGGUAUGAUAUUAUAUCACUGCCUUUAUGUGGGCGCAUGAAUGGGACUUAUGGCUUCUAAUUCGUCGUAACUGACAAUUUAUUGAACUUGAUCUCAAAUCAGGUAGGACUACCCGCUGAACUUAA